rnacentral:rRNA from 1 species
UGGCUCAGAUUGAACGCUGGCGGCAUGCCUUACACAUGCAAGUCGAACGGCAGCACGGGAGCUUGCUCCUGGUGGCGAGUGGCGGACGGGUGAGUAAAGCAUCGGAACGUAUCCUGGAGUGGGGGAUAACGUAGCGAAAGUUACGCUAAUACCGCAUAUUCUGUGAGCAGGAAAGCAGGGGAUCGCAAGACCUUGCGCUCUGGGAGCGGCCGAUGUCGGAUUAGCUAGUUGGUGAGGUAAAGGCUCACCAAGGCGACGAUCCGUAGCGGGUCUGAGAGGAUGAUCCGCCACACUGGGACUGAGACACGGCCCAGACUCCUACGGGAGGCAGCAGUGGGGAAUUUUGGACAAUGGGCGCAAGCCUGAUCCAGCCAUGCCGCGUGAGUGAAGAAGGCCUUCGGGUUGUAAAGCUCUUUCGGUGGGGAAGAAAUGGCACGGGUUAAUACCCUGUGUUGAUGACGGUACCCGCAUAAGAAGCACCGGCUAACUACGUG